rnacentral:ncRNA from 1 species
AAAAACAGAACUAUAAAAAUUAAAUAGUCAUCUUAUUAUUUGCUUUCCGAGUAGAGCCUUGAUCCAAGGCUCUUUUUUUUCGCC